AUUUAUUAGAUCUUACAAGAUUACUUGGAUAUCUGUAGUAAUUCUAGAGCUAAUACAUGAAUAUGUGCUUUGGUUCACGCCAAAUGCGAAUUUAUUAGAUCAAAACCAACCGGUUUCGGCCGUUAGAUUGGUGACUCUGGAUAACUAUUCUGAUCGCAUGACCUUGUGUCGGCGACGUAUCUUUCAAGUGUCUGCCCUAUCAACUUAAGUUGGUGAGUUAGUUGCUCACCAUGGUUAUAACGGGUAACGGAGAAUCAGUGUUCGAUACCGGAGAGGGAGCCUUAGAAACGGCUACCACAUCUAAGGAAGGCAGCAGGCGCGCAAAUUACCCACUCUCAGAACGAGGAGGUAGUGAAUUUAAAUAGCGAUGAUGAACUCUUAUGAGGCUCGUCAAUCGAAAUGAGUACAAUUUAAAUCCUUUAACGAGUACCAAUUGGAGGGCAAGUCUGGUGCCAGCAGCCGCGGUAAUUCCAGCUCCAAUAGCGAAUAUUAAAUUUGUUGCAGUUAAAAAGCUCGUAGUUGGAUCCAAGGUUAGGCAUGCCUGUCUGUUCUUAGUAGCAUGACUGUGUGUGUCUGCCUUUAUUAGUUGAAUGUUCAUUAUGGUGGUCUUCAUCGACUGCUAUGAUGUGCUCAACACGUUUACCUUGAAAAAAUCAGAGCGAUCAAGGCAGGCCUUCGUGCUUGUAUGUUGUUGCAAGGAAUAAUAGAAUAGGACUUCGGUUCUAUUUUGUUGGUUUUGAGAAUUGAAGUAAUGAACAAUAGAGACAGUCGGGGGCAUUUGUAUGGUGGCGUUAGAGGUGAAAUUCUGAGAUCGUCGCCAGACAAACUACUGCGAAAGCAUUUGCCAAGGAUGUCUUCAUUAAUCAAGAACGAAAGUCAGAGGUUCGAAGACGAUCAGAUACCGUCCUAGUUCUGACCAUAAACGAUGCCGACCUACAAUCGGGGGUGGUUUAUUAUAUUGACCCUCCCGGCUGUCCUCAGGAAACUUUAAGUUGGUUCUGGGGGGAAUAUGGUCUCAAGACUGAAACUUAAAGGAAUUGACGGAAGGGCACCACCAGGAGUGGAGCCUGCGGCUUAAUUUGACCCAACACGGGGAAUCUCACCCGGUCCGGACACUGGUAGGAUGGACAGAUUGAUAGCUCUUUCUUGAUUCAGUGGGUGGUGGUGCAUGGCCGUUCUUAGUUGGUGGAGUGAUUUGUCUGGUUAAUUCCGAUAACGAACGAGACUCUGUCCUGCUAAAUAGUCCAGUGGCAUCAAUCACUAUGUGAUUACAGCUGCUGUUACUUCUUAGAGGGAUUCGCGGAUUUAAACCGCAAGAAAUAGAGCAAUAACAGGUCUGUGAUGCCCUUAGAUGUCCGGGGCCGCACGCGCGCUACAUUGACAG
rnacentral:rRNA from 1 species